CUGGGCGUAAGGGUGUGUAGGCGGUUCUUUAAGUUUGGUGUGAAAUCUCCCGGCUCAACCGGGAGGGUGCGCCGAAUACUGAGGGACUAGAGUGCGGGAGAGGAAAGUGGAAUUCCUGGUGUAGCGGUGAAAUGCGUAGAUAUCAGGAGGAACACCGGUGGUGUAGACGGCUUUCUGGACCGUAACUGACGCUGAGACACGAAAGCGUGGGUAGCAAACAGGAUUAGAUACCCUGGUAGUCCAUGCCCUAAACGAUGCAUAUUUGGUGUGGGUCAUUCAGUUGAUCCGUGCCGGAGCUAACGCGUUAAAUAUGCCGCCUGGGGAGUACAGUCGCAAGGCUGAAACUCAAAGGAAUUGACGGGGGCCCGCACAAGCGGUGGAGCAUGUGGUUCAAUUCGACGCAACGCGAAGAACCUUACCUGGGCUCGAACGGGUAGUCAACGGCGGUGGAAACAUCGCUACCCCGCAAGGGGGUCUAUUCGAGGUGCUGCAUGGCUGUCGUCAGCUCGUGUCGUGAGAUGUUGGGUUAAGUCCCGCAACGAGCGCAACCCUUGUCCUGUGUUGCCAUCAUUCAGUUGGGAACUCGCAGGAGACCGCCAGCGAUAAGCUGGAGGAAGGUGGGGAUGACGU
rnacentral:rRNA from 1 species